GCUCUUUGAAGAACAAAAACAAAGCGGAGGAUGAACAAUUGUUGAAGAGAGUGCAUGGCUUGGAUCGCUGGCCCCGGAGUGAACCCCAGCGCCGUGUCCCCGGGCCUCGCUGCUGCGCCCUCAGCACCACGAGGCCAACCACAUCGCAGAAGUUUCCCGGCCAAAAAAACACUGAGAUCCCACACAAAGAGGACAGCCAGGGCCUCUUGGACAGCAAUGGUGCGGUGGAGCUGACAACACGGCCAGCAGAGAAGCCCCGAACAACGACGGGACGGGACAUCAAGCUGCCGGGAGACCGAUGAAACGGUCCCUUUUGCUGGCGGAUGAAAUCUUCCCGUUCUUAACGUAUAUGGCGUUCAGUUGAACUUGUCUUCCUUUUCACUCUUUUUCGAUCUCCGGAUUUUCCAAAUUACACGCGCAAGGUCACAUGUCUGGUUGUGAAUAAAUAAAACCUCAGCCGAGGUUUGAAUGUAGAGUAAAUUCUCUCACUGAGCCAUAAAUUUACAUUAAUGUGAAAAUACACCAAUACAGAAGUUAAUUAAAAAGUUACUACGAAGAUAUUACCGAAAUGUAGGCAGAAUUAAAGGCACGCCAAACUGUAUCUUUAAUUCUCGGAAUAUGUAUAGGUAGUAAGCUUCCACUGAGUAGCUUUUAUACUAAGCUGGAA